AGUGUCAUGGGACAGUGGGCCCUGGUGCCACAAUGCCUGGCAUCUCCACCAGAUACAGCUUUGAGAUCUUCAUGAUGAAGCUUGCUCCAAUCCAAGGGCUGUCAGGUGGGGUUUGCGGUUCAGCUGCUAACCUUUCUUUGAUCCAAAUCCUGUCUUCACUGGCUUCAAGAAUCCUGUCUUCACUGGCUUCAAAACUGGGAUGAAGGAGGCUCCUUAGUGGAGAGCAAAGCAAAGAGAAACUCAAAUUGGAUUCAUAUUAAAGAAGAGAAGGAUGGAUUUGUUUAGACAACACAAACCUAGGAAGGGUUUGAGGGGUGAAACAAACUGGGUUAUGGAUGAACGGGGGCAAUUGGAAUGUAGAAUUGAAACAGUAGUUAACAUCUUGGUUUCAUCUGGGUGUUUGGCAUCAUGUUCAGAAAUGCGAAAAAUAAAAUUCAGCACCGUUAUUACUGAAUUAGAUAAAAUGAUUGUAUUUAAUUAAUCCGUAAAUAUUAAUUAUUCUGUUUACCAUAACAUGUAAUGAAUAUAAUUCUCCACCAGGCAAAUAAAGAAAGAAAGAUGUAAUUAGGUGAUUUAAGCAUAAAA
rnacentral:antisense_RNA from 1 species